GGGCUGGCGGGAGCGCGGGCCCUCGAGCCGCGCGGGAGCCGGGAGGAUGCCCGCCCGUGCUGCACCUACGGUCGGAACAUUCCCCUGAAAAGUGGAGGUCCCGUUCAGGUCCCUCCCCUAACAACCCGCGGCAGGUCCGGGCCUAGCUGACCUCUGCUCCAGAAUCCGCAAGGCCCGCGGCGCCUCCGUUUCAGCGGAGAAAAAGAGCUCCAGGAACGAUGAGAAGGAAUAAAAAGAGAGGAGAGGAAACUGAGGCAUGGAGAUAGGUGACCACACCCCGUCCCCUGCCUGGCCACUGCAAGUCUCUGCAAGAGGAGCCACUAAAAGCCAGCCCAGCCCUGGACCGUGUCUCAGACACCAGUGAGGACACAGCAAGAAUACAGCUGUCCCCAAGCCAGGAAGAGGGUCCUCCACCAGGAACCAAAUCUCGGGCAUUCUGAACUUGGACUUCCCAGGUUCCAAAAACGUGUCGCCCUUAGCAAUGACCACAGCCACCCAGUUCUGCCCCCUACAAUGUGCCAGGCACACUGGACACCUUCAACUCUGAAGACCAGCACAGGUUGACUUCUGAAACCCUCCUCACAACCCAGAAGAACACGCUCUGGGGACGGGGAAAUGAGGCUCAGGUCAGCAAUGCGACUUACCCAAGAUCAUGCAGCAAUACCUGGACAGGCCAAGAUUUGGACAUUGCUGUGUCACACCCCAAGGUGCUCAUUCCCUAGGUGACUUAGACUGAAGUCCCCUCCCCAGGAUGUGUCGCCCCAGUCUGCGUCCCCGAGAGGGGCCUCCCCGGGCUAGAGCAGGGAUGGGAACUUGGGCUGUGGGAACACCAGCUCCUCCCUGCCUGGUGCUCUUUGUGUCUUUUGGGCCACCACUUUCUGGAGAGUCACUUCCCCGUCCUUGGUCUGCCUCCAGCCACUGCCCCUCUGUGCAGCAGCCCCAGGAGGUCUCAUAACAUGCAUUGGAUCUCAGCACUCCCUGCCCAAGCUCUGCUCACUCCACUGCGGCCCUAAUGGGCCCCCCAGGGCCUUUGCACAUGCUGUUCCCUCAGCUGGGAACAGUCUUACCCCACAUCUUCCCAUGCUGCCUCUUUCUAGUCAUUAUGCCUCAGAAGAGGUGCCCACCUCUGCCCACCCUGAACCAAAUGUGGUACCCGCUAAAAUGUGAGCUUCCCAGGGCAGGUACCUUAUCUGCGUCCCAUGGUUUUUUAUGUCUGACUUAUAGUAGGUGCUCAAUAAACACGUUGAAGAAACAGGGGCAGCUGCCAUGUGAUGGGAGGGAACAAGAUGUGUCCAGGAUGAGGGGCCUGACAGAUAACUCGAUUUCCCCUUCUGUAAAAUGGCACCAGGAGAGCCUAGAGUGGAGAAGGGGUUGGGUGGGGCACCCAGGGAAGGGACUGAGCCCCUCAGGCAGCUCUUGAGGCUGAAAGCACGAGGUCCAAGUAGGCUGGCCAAGCCCACAGGCUGAAGGAGGAAAAGACGGACCCAGGAGCCACCUAUGCGGACAGCCCACACACUCGGAUACCCAGGUCGUGCACCCCUCCCACCUAGACACACACAGACACCCAGACAUGACAAGUCCCACACACAGCCCACCUGAGAGGCAGGGACACACACACACAGAUACGUCCACGUGCAAGCCUGCACCACACACACCCUGUGCCGAUGAGCACACCCCCUGACCACACAAGACCCACAGCACAGCUACACCAGCACCCCCCACCACACAUGCACACACUCCAACACAAGUCCGCACGGAUGGAAGGGUGCAGAACCACAGCUCCCAGGGCUCUUCUCCAUCUAGAAAGUCCCCCUCUCCUCCUCCAGGCAGGCCUCGGGGGGGGGGGGGGGCAGGGGGGGGCUCUGUCCCAGAGUUCUGAGGACAGGGGAUGGGUGGCAGCCACCAGGGAAGAAGUAACCGUGUCACUCGCUCAUCUGGGUCCCCGCUGAUCAGUGAGAGAACCUUUGUGGGUGCCCAGGGCACAAGAACCACCCCCCUCCUGCCGCUUUCCUUUCCUCGCCCAAGUAGGGAACGGAGCUUAGGGUGCACCCCACCUCACACUCUUCCAGCCCCCAGCUCACCACAGCCUGGGCAGAAGAGGCGACAGGGAAGUGGCACAGCUGGAAAGUCAGCCCAGAGAGGUUAGGGGGUGACCCAAUUUGACUCAGUAAGUCCCCACCCAGGGCUGCAGGCUCCCCACCACCCAACAGAUGGAGUCAGGGGGAGCUCCAGGGAAAGCCCCGCCCCACACUUGCACAAGAGUGACAGUUAGAACUCAUUCCUCCAGAUUCCUUUCUCGUCACCUCAUCACCUCAGAGCCCUUCUGGGAAGAGAGGCUGGGCAGGAAGCAGAUGGGGGGAGUCCCAUUGCCUUUUUCCUUUAAGCAGCCCCAGCUGCAAAGCCUUAUUGCUCAAGAAGAUAGCAUAGCCCAGAGAGGGGGAGUGAGAUGCCCCGGGUCACACAGCGGGGGAGGACCUCAGCGGAGGCAGGGGGUGGGGCUCCCUGGACCCUCAGCUGCCAAAACUCCAGGCUCAUAUGUUCCUAGGAUGGCCUGCCUCCCACCUUGGCUUUUAUGACUCUGCUUAUUUAAUGUAUUAUUGUCUUGCUUACUAAUAUUACUAAUUGCUAACUCAUUGCAAGCUUUCAAUAUGCCAGGCACAGAGCUAAGGACUUCACACAGAUUUCUUUCAUUCAUUCAUUUUUCCUGCAACAAAUCUCGAUUAAGCAUCUACUGUGUCCCAGGCACUGUGGUAGGGUCUGAGGGAGACACAUGUGAACAAAACUGAUGAGUUCUGGGCUCUCACAGAGCUGACAUUUUAGGAGCAAAACACAAUAAUCAAGUAAACUAAUACACGAACCUGUUAA